CGGGAAAGGUACUGUUGGAGGAGGGAACGCCACGUGCUUACCCACUAAACAGUGGGACAAGGAUAUCGUACCAAACUGCACUCCGAUUUUAGACCAUCCAUGCAGUGACGAUAACCUAUGUUCCCUCAUCAAUGGAUCCUGCUCGGCAAAUGGACGGUGCGAGUGUGGUCUCUACAAGACAUAUGACGAAACUGAAAAAGAAUGCGUUCUUGACUGCGGAGCUCCUCCAGACGUCGCCAAUGCUGUGGUGUCUGGUAAUACGACCAUACAAACCUACCAGUGCGAGCCUGGUUACAGUCCUGCGGCGGGUUCGGAGGCCUCAAUUACGUGUACAGAGAAUGGAUGGGAACCAGCCAACAGUUUCGCUU
rnacentral:lncRNA from 1 species